rnacentral:rRNA from 1 species
AUUGAACGCUGGCGGCAGGCCUAACACAUGCAAGUCGAACGAGUGGCGGACGGGCGAGUAAUGUCUGGGAAACUGCCCGAUGGAGGGGGAUAACUACUGGAAACGGUAGCUAAUACCGCAUACCAUCGGAUGUGCCCAGAGGGGACUAGCUUGUAGGUGAGGUAACGGCUCACCUAGGCGACGUUCCCUAGCUGGUCUGAGAGGAUGACCAGCCACACUGGAACUGCGGCACGGUCCAGACUCCUACGGUAGGCAGCAGUGGGGAAUAUUGCACAAUGGGCGCAAGCCUGAUGCAGCCAUGCCGCGUGUAUGAAGAAGGCCUUCGGGUUGUAAAGUACUUUCAGCGGGGAGGCGUUACCCGCAGAAGAAGCACCGGCUAACUCCGUGCCAGCAGCCGCGGUAAUUC